UGACUUCAGAGUAGGAAGGGUAGAACAGAGAUGGCCAACACAGGAUUGAAAUCAAAGGUAAAUGAAGAGAUGCUAAGAGAACAAGGAGCUGCCCUUGUAACAAACUCAAGGAUCCUGAAGAAAUGAUUCGGGGAAUUCACUGCGAUUGUCAGGCUUCCGAAGAUGCUCCGGCUGCUGGUGGCGUACUCCACGAAGGCCAUUUAAAGUGUGUAAAAUGAAGAGGAUGAAGAAGAUGGCUUCCAGGGUCCAUUCCCUCCGUGGGCCUGACGUUUCUAGCCUGUAAAAUGAAGAGGUUGAAGAAAGUGGAUUCCGGGGUCCCUUCCCCCCUUGGGCCUGAUUUUUCUAUCCUGUUAAAUGAGGAGGUUGAACAAAAUGGCUUCCUGGGCACCUUCCAGCUGCAGAUCCAGGUGUGUGGCAUUGGAACAACUUGGUUUCUAGUUACCUCAUGGAAUAAUUCUAAUUUAUGAUUUGGAAGAAGAAGCUUUAUACAAAGCAUCCACAACUUAUGCAAGCAUCUACAGCUUUUCCUUUUCCCAAUUGGGGAUUGGCCUUCAAAACUGGUCUUCAGAAGCUCCUUGAAAGUCAGUCCAUUUUAUUCUAUGACCAUGUCUUCAUGAUACACAGCAGUAUUGAGUCUCUCAGGCCAUUUGGACAAUUCAGUGAAGACAAAGCAAACUGGUUGCUUGAAUUAAAAGGCUGAUUGGUUGGUUGAAGGCCAGCUUCAUCAGAGUGGUUGAAAUAAUGGGUUCAGAUUCACUUACGUCUGGCAAUCAGGAAGAGCAAGAAAAUGGAACUGCAUUGAUCCUGAGGAUUGAAAGUGGGAAAGGACUUUCCAAUUCAUCUAGUUCAACACCUUCAUUCAACAGAUGAAGAAAAUGAGGAGUUUCAGAAGAAUUCUGCUGCAACAGGCAAAAUGUCAUAUCUGAAGAGGAGUGGAAGACUACGUCAUCGAUAGAAAAUUCUCUUUCAUCUUGGAGCCUGUGCUGGAUCCUGGAGCUUGGCAGUGCCCAAGACAUCACUGGCUCUGACUGCCAUAUCACACCUCCUUAUUCUACAGAGAAAGAAGCUGAAGCCCAGAGAGAAGUUUGAUGAUUUACCUCAGGUCUCCUACAUAGACUGCAAUCUUUGACCUGAGGACUGCUUUUGCUGCUUCCCACAAAUAUGGGUAUAUUGUUUCAUCAUUAUCAUUUGUUUUCACAUAACUAUUGUUUCUUUAGUUUGUCCUUUGACCAAAUUAUUAUUUAGAAUUUCAUUAUCAUGUCUCCAUUUGGGUUUGUGUGGAAAAGAUUACUUGGUAAUGGCAGUGUGAGAGAGAGAGAGAGGAGACUACUGUGGAGCAGGGGAAGAAGGUGCAUGUGAAAGCCAUUGGAAGGAGUAGAAGGAGGAUUAUAAAAGAAAUGGACAAUGGAAGAUAGUAGGGAGACAAUUGGGGGCAGUCAGGUAGCACAGUGGAUAGAGUAUUAGGCCUAGAGUCUG